rnacentral:lncRNA from 1 species
GCCCACUUCCCACUGUAACAGCUGAAAUGCUGGAUAAUACUUUUGCAGGCAUCCCUGCAGGUAGGGAUGAGCACAGGAUCCAGGAUCCACCAAUCAGAAGCACCCAUUCUGGACUGUGAAUCAGGUGCUAUUGACACUGAGACCCUCUCUGGAGGUGGCAGCAGUUGCAGCAAGACUGUGUUUCCAUGGCAACAGUGGCUGAUGCUGUCCCCAUCUUGCGCCUGGAGCAGAAGUGCCCUGUCUCAGCAACCGGCAAGGGAGGUGACAAUGGCUUCAGCACGUGAUCACAGACCCCCCACCAGAGAGCUGACCACCUAGGGGUGCCUUUUAACAUCUCAGCCCACACAGCUACAUGGUCAGUGAAGCAUAAAAGAAAACAGGUCAAAGCAAUGAACUGCGCUGGACCGGAUGUGGAAGUGUCGAGAGAGCAAGUACUAGGUGCCCAGGAACCGUGACUAUCUGAAACCAUGAACCGAAAAUCUGUGCUCCCUUGGGUCCUUUCUCCGCCUGUUUUGACUAAGUCUUCCAUUUGUUAAGCAUGGAACAUGGCGUGAUGGCUCGAACUCCAGCAGCCAUCUAGAAACCACGAGGCUAAGUCAGCGCUGGGGGUGCUGAGCAGAAAGAGAAGGAGCCUGAGACGCCCAGGGCACUUGGAGCUGCUGUACACACGAGCUCGAGCGUGACGAGUUUUCUGCUCCAUGGAGGAGGCAGAGGACUGGAGUGGCUGGCGUCUCCUUGCUCAAUUUAGAGGGAAGCUGAAGGUUUCUCCAACUGCAUUUCCUGAGUUAGGAGGAUGACACACUCUCCAGGACGGACGGACUGGCUCAUCAUCUGGGUGAGUCAUUCCAACACUCAUGGUUCCCUAACUUCCUCUGCCUCCCUGACCUUCGCCCGCACACCACCCCAGGCCAACAACUUCCUGGCGCGCCCCACUCUGGACCUCGUCAGCAGCAGGAACUGCCCCACCAGCAUCCUGAUCUCUGACAUUUCACUUUCGAGCCCGCCGCUCCCUCCUGUUCUACUCCCC